CGGUGUGUACAAGGCCCGGGAACGCUGAGACAGGUGCUGCAUGGCUGUCGUCAGCUCGUGUUGUGAAAUGUUGGGUUAAGUCCCGCAACGAGCGCAACCCUUAUCCUUUGUUGCCAGCGAUUCGGUCGGGAACUCAAAGGAGACUGCCGGUGAUAAACCGGAGGAAGGUGGGGAUGACGUCAAGUCAUCAUGGCCCUUACGAGUAGGGCUACACACGUGCUACAAUGGCGCAUACAAAGAGAAGCGACCUCGCGAGAGCAAGCGGACCUCACAAAGUGCGUCGUAGUCCGGAUCGGAGUCUGCAACUCGACUCCGUGAAGUCGGAAUCGCUAGUAAUCGUGGAUCAGAAUGCCACGG
rnacentral:rRNA from 1 species